CGGGGGGGCAAGCGUUGUUCGGAAUUACUGGGCGUAAAGGGCUCGUAGGCGGCCAACUAAGUCACACGUGAAAUCCCUCGGCUCAACCGGGGAACUGCGUGUGAGACUGGAUGGCUUGAGUUUGGGAGAGGAACGCGGAAUUCCAGGUGUAGCGGUGAAAUGCGUAGAUAUCUGGAGGAACACCGGUGGCGAAGGCGGCAUUCUGGACCAACACUGACGCUGAGGAGCGAAAGCCAGGGGAGCAAACGGGAUUAGAUACCCCGGUAGUCCUGGCCCUAAACGAUGAACACUUGGUGUGGCGGGUAUCGAUCCCUGCCGUGCCGAAGCUAACGCAUUAAGUGUUCCGCCUGGGGAGUACGGUCGCAAGGCUG
rnacentral:rRNA from 1 species